UGCAGAAUGUGAAUGAGAAGCUGCAGGAUGAGCAGAAAGCUCUUCAGGAGCGAAACAGGCAGGACUCUGCAACCUGGGACAGAGAGAAGAGCAAGAUGAUGGAGAUGUUCACCUCCCGAUUAGACCAGCUGCACAGCCACCAGGCCUCCACGCUGCAGGAGCUGCAGAUGGCGCGGGUGGAGAUGGGUCAGGUACAGGAGAUGCUGCAGGCCUCUCAGGAGGCUAAAGAGCGAGAAGAAGCAGCCAAAGAAGAGGUAAAUAAUGGCUGGAAUGUGAUAAAAGCUUAAGGGCUCUAUCUUACAUCCUGGGCAAGUCUCUUGCGAGUAUAUUUACACUGAUAAAUGUGGUGGUCUGGAAGUGAGGUGUGUUCAGGUAAAUUUCUGGCAUGUAUCUAACUUGGCCAAGGGAAACACAGGUGCACCACAUACUGAUUAAAACCCUGACAACAGUCAAUAGUCAGCCGCCCAAUUCUAUCUUAGCCAGUUACUUUAUUUCAG